rnacentral:rRNA from 1 species
AAGAUAGAAAACUGGAUAAAGAUGGGCACGCGCAAGAUAGUGUAGCGGUGAAAUGCAUAGAUAUUACUUAGAACACCAAUUGCGAAGGCAGGUUACUAAGUUACAACUGACGCUGAUGGACGAAAGCGUGGGGAGCGAACAGGAUUAGAUACCCUGGUAGUCCACGCUGUAAACGAUGCUAACUCGUUUUUGGGUUUUCGGAUUCAGAGACUAAGCGAAAGUGAUAAGUUAGCCACCUGGGGAGUACGAACGCAAGUUUGAAACUCAAAGGAAUUGACGGGGGCCCGCACAAGCGGUGGAUUAUGUGGUUUAAUUCGAUGAUACGCGAGGAACCUUACCAAGGCUUAAAUGGGAAUUGACAGAUUUAGAAAUAGAUCCUCCUUCGGGCAAUUUUCAAGGUGCUGCAUGGUUGUCGUCAGCUCGUGCCGUGAGGUGUUAGGUUAAGUCCUGCAACGAGCGCAACCCCUGUCACUAGUUGCCAUCAUUAAGUUGGGGACUCUAGUGAGACUGCCUACGCAAGUAGAGAGGAAGGUGGGGAUGACGUCAAAUCAUCACGGCCCUUACGCCUUGGGCCACACACGUAAUACAAUGGCCGGUACAGAGGGCAGCUACACAGCGAUGUGAUGCAAAUCUCGAAAGCCGGUCUCAGUUCGGAUUGGAGUCUGCAACUCGACUCUAUGAAGCUGGAAUCGCUAGUAAUCGCGCAUCAGCCAUGGCGCGGUGAAUACGUUCCCGGGCCUUGUACACACCGCCCGUCAAGCCAUGGAAGUCUGGGGUACCUGAAGUCGGUGACCGUAAAAGGAGCUGCCUAGGGUAAAACAGGUAACUAGGGCUAAGUCGUAACAAGGUAGCCGUACCGGAAGGUGCGGCUG